UAGAAGUGAGCAUGCAGGCAUGAGUAGCGAUAAUUAAUGUGAGAAUCAUUAACGCCGUAAACCCAAGGUUUCCUACGCGAUGCUCGUCAUCGUAGGGUUAGUCGGGUCCUAAGUCGAGUCCGAAAGGGGUAGACGAUGGCAAAUUGGUUAAUAUUCCAAUACCAACAUUAGUGUGCGAUGGAAGGACGCUUAGGGCUAAGGGGGCUAGCGGAUGGAAGUGCUAGUCUAAGGUCGUAGGAGGUUAUACAGGCAAAUCCGUAUAACAAUACUCCGAGAACUGAAAGGCUUUUUGAAGUCUUCGGAUGGAUAGAAGAACCCCUGAUGCCGUCGAGCCAAGAAAAGUUUCUAAGUUUAGCUAAUGUUGCCCGUACCGUAAACCGACACAGGUGGGUGGGAUGAGUAUUCUAAGGCGCGUGGAAGAACUCUCUUUAAGGAACUCUGCAAAAUAGCACCGUAUCU
rnacentral:rRNA from 1 species